ensembl:lncRNA
CGGGCCCCCACACUACAGGAGUGUGAGAUCAUCAUCCGACAGCUAUAUAAUGCUAACAGCUUACAGUCUCAGGAGAUCGUGCGUGUGAAAGCACUGCUCAGAGACAUCGUUUCAAACAAGAAAAUCACCCCAGAAAACUACAUCAUGGCUAAGGCCUACCUUUCAGAUGGAACUCGCGGGUCUUUAGAAGAAAACAAAUUACCAAAACUUGGCCUUCAGUCAUUCCCAGAAAAACAGUGUGGAACAUCUCAGUCUGGGGUUGUCUUCCCUGCCCUCAAACAGAGCCUUGGCUACAACAUUGCAGAUAGACAGAAGAGGUCCCGUGCUGUGCAGAGAGACCGUUUGAGAAGGGCUGUUCAGUGACAGGAACACAAAUACCAGAGCAUAUUUCUGUGGUAUAUAAUGAAAUAAAGCAUUUCUGAUUGAUGAUGUUUUAUGAUGUCAUAAAGUUGAGCAGGAUAGAGUGGUCGCAGCAGGAAUCGCACAACACUUAGUCAAUGACGGCCCAGUUGGAUUACCUCUUCCAGUAAGCCUUGCCAGUGUGAAGCAGCAUGCCGUACGGAAGCGCCUCCCUUAAGUGGAAUGCAACCAUCAUUAACACACCUGUGUGCUUCCUGUCAUGGCAUGUCAAAAUGUCUGCUGCUCGGGAAAAAAAACCCUAUACA